rnacentral:lncRNA from 1 species
UUGAAGUUAAUUGUAAGGUUAUUUCACUCAUUUUCAUUGUUAUUUUUUAAAGUCCAAAUUUCAAGCAUUUCUUUUUCAUUACCUUUUAUUUCUUGUUUUUAUUUCAACAGUAAUUGUAUUACAUCUCUUCAAAAAGUUUUCAAUAAAAAAUAAAACUAAAAUGUGAACACUUCAAAAACAUGAUCUAUAUGACAGAAAUCUCUUGGCAUAUGACAAUUCUCUACUUAUAUUUUAUACCUUUGCGUAUACAGUGCUGUUUUAGCUAUCUGAAGUUGUUAUUUUGUUUUGUUUUAUUAUUUAGUUAAUUUAAUUUUUUCUUAUAGAAUUGUUAUAUAAAAUAUAUAUAUUUUUUUUUCAUUAUUUGAAUCAUUAUACUUCUACUACUAUAUAAACACACUCAUUAGUGCAUGGCUGAGCCAUAACUUAGUUUAUUGUUGUAGUAUCAGUACAAUGCAAGUCUUCCACAUCUUUUUGCCAACAUUUAGAAAUUAUUAUAUUUGUCAAUAUGCACAUUUAUCAGUGAUUAUAUAUCAUAGAUAUUUUAAAUAUAAUUUAUUAUUAUUUAAUUUUUGUUUCUAGAAAUUGUUUCCUGUUUUGUGCUAUUUCAGAAGUUGUAAUAUUUUUAAAGCUGAUAAACAAAAUUUAACUUCAAAGUUUAGAGCAUCAAAAGCUAAAAUUCCUUGGGUAGAUUGAAUUUUCAAAUAAUCACUAUGGUAAUCUUGCACUCUUUAUUGAAUAAUUAUUUACACAUUCAUGAAUAGACUUAUUAUUUGCUCACUUGUUACCUACUUUUUCAAAAUCUGAAUUCUUUUAAUUGUCAACCUAACCAUUCUAUUUUACAAUUACCCUCAUCUGUAGUAAGAAAGCUUAUUGACUCUGUGGGUCUUGUAGUUCAAAAAAUCACUAGAUAACUUUCGGUUAGAAUGAUAGCAGUUUCUGGAGUUAGCUCCCCUUAAUUGUUAAUUGCUAGGACAUUUCAAUCACAUUAUAUCUUGAAUUAUAUAAUUUUAUACAUGUUCUCAAUUAAUUGAGGGGGGGGGGGGGGAGAUUGUUGUAUGGCGUAAAGUGAGCAAAAUAUAUGGGAUUUAUUUCAUGUGUGAAACAUUUGGUUUUAAUUUACAGAGUAACCAUGAUCAGUAUUUCACUGCACUCUUGCAUACCAAAAAUAAAAAGAACUAUUAUAAUAUCCUCAAACAAAAGAAGUUACUUAAUUUCAGUUAAAAUGCAUAGUAUCUGUUUAGUAUGUUUUUAAUGAGAUAAUAAAAAUUGAGAAUAGAAAGGGGGACUGGGUCAAAGAGCAAAGUAAGAUUUAAUGAACGAAAAGUUAAUCAGAUUAGAUCAUCAUUUUUAUCAUUUUAGUUGUCUUAAUGAAAUGAAUUACAAAUUUAGAAAUUAUAAGGUAUAUUAAUAUUUGACAGUAUGAAACAUGUAAAUGAUAUAGAAAAUUGUUGUAUAACGGUAGUUUAUAUGAAAAGUAACAACAAAUUAACAACAGUAUUCACUUGAAAUAAAACAGAGUAGCACUAAUUGUUAUCUAUAUGAUAUAUUUGAUGAAU